AUGCUAACACAAUAUGAGAGGUAUGCAGGCAAGUCUGCCCAUAUUAGAGUUAAUUGAUAUUUCUGCGUCGCCACGGCAACAACGGUGAUGACAAGUCAUUGUGUUAUUCUGUGAGCCAGGAGUUGCUAUUUCAAUUCUUAUAAUUGUUCUGAUGGGCUUUCUUUCUACUAAUUUGUAUGAUUUCAUAUUUUAUCUACCCACCUCUUCAUCUUUUAAGGGUGACGGAGGCCCUUGUCAGCAAAACGCCCUUUCUCCUGAUUGGCGACAUGGAUUUUAAUUGAUCAAAGCAAGCCGAGGGAGUCGAGCGGCGGGGGAGCGAGGGAGAAAGAAAGGGAAAGGCCUGAAAAGAUCCACUCACGCCAGCAGCGGCCUGGAGGCGAGGGUGCGAGCGGCACCAACACCCACCGGGCCGAGGUGCCGAUGGAAAAGCCCGGGCAGAUAAAGAGCAAGUGUGUCAUUCGGGCCCUUGGCCACUCACUGUGAUUUUUGCACCUAUGAGUAAGACGCGUGACUAAAACCAAGAAACAAAACUUUGCUUGUCUGCUCGCUGCUCACGACACUCAGCUUAAAAAAAAAAAAGGAACCGCAUGAUUCAGUGUUUCCUUCUUUAUUUAGAUACACUUUAGUCCAUUUAUACCAAAGAUCAAUCUGGCAUUGGGGAAUCGCUGAUCCAAAAGUAUUGUAUUUUCCCAUGCACACUUGACUUUUGCCAUCACUUUAAAUCCAACACUGUAAUGCGUUUUUAUAUCAACUGAGAUAUGUCAAAAUUAAUCGAUUCAUCGACAACAAGUAAAUAAAGUACAAUAAAAAAUAAAUAAAAUAAGAUAAUCGAUUCUAAGAAUAGUGAUAACCUUAGAUAUAAAAUCCAUUCAUUGUCUAGGAGAUUGAAAAAAAAUAAUCGUGUAAUAUUGACUCCACCCAAAAAAAAAAAAAAUCGUUUCGCUCUACGGCUCCGGUGUAGAAAUUGGACAUGAUGCGUUGAACGUGAUCUUGCAAAGUCAUUUAUGAAUGCCAUCUGUCAUACACUUGCGGGCACAAUCGGGGUUUUUUUUCGGGGCGGGGGGGGGGGGGGGGGGGUCCAGGUGGUGUAAAACUAUAAUUUUGCAGCCACAGAGUGCGACAGCACGGAGUGUGUGAGUCAUAAAAACACACUCAAUCUGGAGCAGCAUGUCACCAAGCAAA